UACGAAGGGUGCAAGCGUUAAUCGGAAUUACUGGGCGUAAAGCGUGCGUAGGUGGUUUCUUAAGUCUGCUGUGAAAGCCCUGGGCUCAACCUGGGAAUGGCGGUGGAUACUGAGGAGCUAGAGUGCGGUAGAGGAGGGUGGAAUUCCCGGUGUAGCGGUGAAAUGCGUAGAGAUCGGGAGGAACAUCAGUGGCGAAGGCGGCCCUCUGGACCAGCACUGACGCUGAGGCACGAAAGCGUGGGGAGCAAACAGG
rnacentral:rRNA from 2 species